GACAGGAACCCUUAUCUUUCUGAGGGUACAAGACAGGCUGCUGCUACUACCGCUGCAUUAGCGAAGAAAUAUGGGGCUGACAUCACUGUUGUAGUUAUUGAUGAAAAGCAGAAAGAAUCAUUUCCAGAGCAUGAAACCCAAAUGUCUAGCAUUCGCUGGCAUCUCUCUGAAGGUGGAUUCCAAGAAUUCAACUUGUUGGAGCGGCUCGGUGAAGGGAACAAGCCCACCGCCAUCAUUGGUGAUGUUGCUGAUGACCUAAACUUAGAUUUGGUAGUAAUAAGCAUGGAAGCAAUUCAUUCCAAGCAUGUGGAUGCCAACUUACUGGCUGAGUUCAUUCCUUGCCCUGUCUUACUUUUACCAUUGUAGAUUCCA
rnacentral:misc_RNA from 1 species